rnacentral:rRNA from 1 species
GACGAACGCUGGCGGCGUGCUUAACACAUGCAAGUCGAACGAAGUGGCGAACGGGUGAGUAACGCGUAAUCAACCUGCCCUUCAGAGGGGGACAACAGUUGGAAACGACUGCUAAUACCGCAUACUGAAGGGGGGGAUUGCGUCUGAUUAGCUCGUUGGAGGGGUAACGGCCCACCAAUGCGAUGAUUAGUAGCCGGACUGGGAGGAUGAACGGCCACAUCUGGACUUGGACACGGCACCGACUCCUACGGGAGGCAGCAGUGGGGAAUCUUCCGGAAUGGACGAAAGUCUGACGGAGCAACGCCGCGGGAGUGAUGACGGGCUUCGGGUUGUAAAGCUCUGUUAAUCGGGACGCGGUACCGGAAUAGAAAGCCACGGCUAACUACGUGCCAGCAGCCGCGGUAAUUC